UGAUGAGCUAAAAGCUCGAAAUCCGGAUCGUUGAAAACAACUUACUGUGAGUAGGGACUUUUUCUUUUUAAGGGGGUCAUUCAUUGCUGCAUUACAGAGGUUUAUCUCAAGACGUGGUAAACCUAAGAAUAUUUUCUCAGACAACGGUACCAACUUCGUUGGAGCAUGUAGAAAAUUGCAAGAAUUUUGGAAGACAAAGAGUUUAAAGAAAAAUUAAUCACCCUGUUCCCAGGAUGAAAUCACAUGGCAUUUUCAGCCACCUAGGGCACCACAUUCUGGCGGCUUCUUCGCAUUCAACUUCUGACAGCGACUUUUAAUUAGAUAUCAAGAAGCCGGUCUAAAUGAUCCAUAGUGGUUGAAGGUCAUUUAAUAAUUUAAAAAAAACUCACGUCCUUUAAUUCCACUUUCCAAUGAACGUACAGAUGAAAAUGUUCCCUCACUCCAUCACAUUUUCUUAUAGGUGAUAUCCUCGUAAACAAAACUGAGCCAUCCCUAAUCCAUCUACCAGUUAACAAAUUUAACCAGUGGCAGCAAGUUCAGCAACUACUUCAACACUUUUGGUCCCGUUGGUCAAGAGAUUACCUCAACAAUAUACAGCUGUUAACGCCAUUUUUCGUGGACUUUGAGCCCGAGGCCCGGCGAUGUUAACGCUCGGCCCUCUCCGCCACACAGUUGGUAAUUGUCGUUUGAACUGUGCGCAUCGGUCAUUGGCAAAUCGUUUGUUUCUUCUUCUUCAAACUGUUACUCGUCUCAUUUUAUUUUAUUCUCGCGAUCGUCGUGGCGAGACUAUCGAUCGAAGGAGAGUCUCCGAAGGACAACGAGAUAAAGGGUAUCCGUAUCCCUAUAUUCCUACAUCAUCUGUACGCCUGUCCUUUUUCCCCCUUUUCAUCCGUCGUAGAAUUUGGAGAAGUCCUCUAUAUGUCCACUUGCUCGUUAACAACAGCAGAGAGGAAAAUGUAAAACCCCUUAACGAGUCCUUCAAAUUGGCGAUCUAGUCACGAUCAAGAAGUACAAGGAAAAUGGCUCGAGUCAUCAACACCCAUCCAGGAGCAGACAGCAAGGUUCGAGUGGCGACGGUGAAGACAGCCGGAGGAAUUAGUAAGAGACCAAUAAAAAAAAUUGCGUUUACUACCAAUUCCACCACAGGACAUUACUGAAGAAUGAUUCUUCAGGACGAGUGGCAUGGUUGAGCUCUUGGCAGCCCUUUGUCGAGUGGAGGAAAAUUAGGGGAUGAAUGGAAGGGAUCAGUAAUUCAGUAUUCGUACAGCCUUCAAAUCGAAAACGUGUCAGUGAACUGCGUGUGGUUUUAUUUCAUUUAUAUAAUUAUUGUGCUAUAGUCAUCAUUUUCAUAUUCAUUUUUCAUUUGUUUAUUUCACUCAUAGUCUAUUUUUAUUAUAAAUAAUCAGUCCAUUAAAUGAACUAAAGAUUUUCGUUUGUAACUAAAAACAUUUAAUACUGUCCACUCAAAUUAAAUAUCCAAUGUGUUUGGGAUCUGGUUUCUGGUCAAAAAUAAAUUGAAACUAAUUGUACAACCACAAAAUUUAAAUGUAACAAACUCAUUUCAAUUCAAAGAACAAAUAACUGCGCUUCAUAUAGAAGAUAUGAGAUUUAAGAAGUUGACUCUAUUUAUAAGAAAAUUAACAAAGAUCCUACUGUAACUUUCGAAGGACAAAAUAAUAAACUUGUUAAAAAAAACUGUUACAAUCAAAAACUAUAAAAAAGGGAGAGGAACGACAACCGAAAACACAUAACUCUGUUAGUACGAGUAGUGUAGUUAGUCCGAAGAUUUAUGUCCUACCAAAAGUACAUAAGGAAGGGACACCCACCCCUCAGGCUAAUAGUGUCGUCAGUACAAUCACCCUUUUACAAUCUUUCUAAAUUGUUCAAAAAUAAAUUGAAACUAUUUGUACAACCACAAAAUUUAAAUGUAACAAACUCAUUUCAAUUCAAAGAACAAAUAACUGCGAUUCAUAUAGAAAAUGAUGAGAUUUAUGACCAGAAACCAGAUCUCAAAUACAUUAAUCGUCGUGGUCGAUUGGUUUUUCAACAUAAAUAUGCAAUGUAACAAACAAUAUUUACAAAAUGACCUAAUCAUUAAAAUACAAAGGUUAACGGAUUAAUUACAAAAAUCAAAAAAAUUUAUUUAAAUUUAAUCAGAAUACCAAUUAGAAAUGUACGUGUAACUAAGAAACCAGCACCUUGGCAUAUAUUUUAACAUUAAUGAAGUUAAGAGACAAGACUUUAAGAAUGUUUAAAAAAAGACGAACAAUUAGCAACCUGGGAAAAAUUCAAACAUUUAAGAAACAAAGUAAAAAAUUCCAACAGAAACCAAAAAUUCAAUUUGUACACCAAUCAAAUUCAAAGCAUAUCAAACCCCACUGAAUUCUGGAAGAUUAUCAAUGAAAACAAUAUUAUCACUAAAAAACAAGAAAAAAACCGAUCGGUGUGCCACGUGUAAAAGCAUUUGCGCAUAACACGUACAAACUUGCGGGCAAAAUUUGUGAAAACGAAUUUCACUUAAAUUGUGUUACUAUUGAAAGAAGUUUUUUUUUAACUUUGAAAUAUGUUAAGAAACCCUGCUCGGACGAGAAUUGGUGAACUGGUCCUAGAUAGUUUGGACAGCAGAGGUGUGCCAAAGGACUUGACUGCAUUAGUGUCUAGCUAUCUCAGCGAAAGAACAGCAACCCUGAGCGAGCACAGUGUGGACUGUAGCACGGUAGUCCAAAUGGGGAUUCCUCAGGGCUCCGUGCUCGGACCGACUUGUGGUCCGUGCUGUUCGACGGGGCACUUAAACAGCUGCAACAGUCAGGGAUUCAUGCUAUCGCGUACGUGGACGACUUGGCUGUUAUCAUCCCUGCCGAAACGAAGGCAGAGAUUGAAAGGAAAGGUGCAAGCGCCGUUGCAGUACUAGAAGAAUGGUGCAACGGUGUCAGACUCUGUUUAGCCCCAGAGAAGACAGAGCUGCUGCUUCUCAAAGGCUCAUUGAACAUGAGAUCACCACUAGUCAUUCGGAUGUGCGGAAAAACAAUAAAAUCCCCACCAAUAGUGACGUACUUGGGUAUAAGGAUGACUGCAGGCUUGCGAUUUUCAGUAAACGCAAAAAGCACGCACGCAAAGAUCCCGGCAAGGAUAGCAGCGAUGAAAGCAAUAAGCGGCGCGAUAUGGGGUGCUUCCUACAAAAGUAGGUCAGUGUACUAUUCGGCGUUGUGCGAAUCAGUACUACUGUAUGCUGCUCCUGCGUGGACGUGUCGGUUGCGGGCUGCUGAUUGGAUAAUGCUAGAGAGGGCCCAGCGCAUAGCCCUUCUCGCGGUCACAAGGGCAUAUAGAACUAUUUCUACAGAUACCCUGCAAGUACUAGCUGGACGACCACCGAUAGAUCUUCAGGCGAAAUUUGUUUGCGGGAAAUGGGAAAUUACAAAUGGACUCGAAUCUGUAUCCCCGCAACAAAUGAAAGCGAAGCUACGCUAUGGAUGAUAACGCAGUGGCAGCGACGAUGGGACGCCUCAACGAAAGGGCGGUACACUUAUGAAAUCUUCCCCAGCAUUCAAGGCAGAAUGAAAAUGAAACAUCUAGAAAUGGAUCAUUUUACGUCACAACUGCUUUCGGGCCACGGAGAUUUUGCAGAAAAACUGAAUAAGUUUAGAUUAAAAGAUAGCCCUUUCUGUGAGUGUGGUCAAGUUGAAACUGUUGAGCACGUGGCAUUUGUAUGCCAUAAAUAUGAACAAGCCCGAUGGAGAUGGCUCGCUGAAACCGGAGAACAAUCGUUAGAUGUGAGUACCCUGCGCCAUGCGGUCUCCUCACCGUCUGGUUUCCGAUCAACUCAGAAAUUGUGGAAAGCCAUUAUGAAACAGAAAGGGUGGUUAGUGUAAAGUGCGAUCAAAGUGAGUGUGCAGUGUGGGAAAGGGGUUAAUUAAAUUAGUUGUAAUUAAUGUUGUUUUGCUUGUUAUAUUCAUGUUCAUUAUUAUAUGUGUGUGUAUGUAUGUGUAUAUGUGUAUGUGCGUGUGAAUUUUGUUACGAUUAUUUAGUAUUACUAUUGUCAUAACUCUUUUUUUUUCCUUUUUUUUUUCCUCCACCCGGCACAGGAGCAGUGUGCUGCACAGCUACCCAGUUUCUUCAGCUCAUCAGGAACCAAGGAACAACAAGUAAAAGUGAACAAACCAAGUGAAGAACCAAAGUUAAAUAACAAAACCUCCUCCACCUGAAUUUAAUAUCCCAACGAGCCGCCUCCGCGAGGCCCAUCCUGGACACAGUUGGUUAAUAUAAUCACCAACUGUGACGAAGAGCUCGGCAGGUGGAGUGUAGAUGCGACCGCUUUGAAAGGCCAUGGACAUAAAAGAGUACAAUAGGAACAGGAGUGGGGAGAGGAAUGUGUUAUUUAUUAUUAGUAUUUUUUUUUGCUAACACGUUCUCUCUGACCCCCAAGUUCAAACGCAUCCGUCUUUAAUAAAAAAGCUACACAAAUAAAAUAAAUAAGCCAAAGGAAGAUACAGUAAAGAGCCGGCGACGGCUUAUGAACAGUAGAAAGAAAGAAAGCCAGACGGUGUUGCGGGUGGCAAGUCCUAAUGUUAUCCGAUUUCUAUGUGAUGACAUUCUUGCCAACAACGUUAUUAUGACAACAGUGCCAUCUAUGCCAAGUAUUCAUGAAAGAUCUUGCCGACACGCUGGGUGAACAAGUCAUUAAGCCGGGGAGUUUCGUCAUCUUGAGACAACAUCAGAAGUGGGAUGGAUUCAGCCCAAAGCAGUUCGUCGCCAUUAGACGAAAGGUAUGAAGAUUUUAUUAACCACGAACGCCAGAAUGAUAACAAUUCUUGUAGAGCUAUUGCCCAAGAACAAUUGCGCACUAUUCAGAGACUUUUGGAACUUACGGGAAAUGCCCUCACACUCUCCACCUUUCAACGUGCCGUCGCCGCUUUAAAAUUACCUGAAUUUGACCCUUUGUCUUCGGUCAGUGCUCGGGUCUGGUGUAACACGGUUUUUUUUCUUUUUUUUAAUGCUUCUCGUGUUGAACUGUCAUGAAAAGGCCUCACUGUAACGUUCAGAGCCACGAUUUCAAGUGAUAUGUAAUGCCUCGGUGGUGUGUAUGGUGUGUAAUGAGGAGUCUUGAACAGAAUUUCUGUGUACGCACAAUGACAUUUCCUCCAGUGUAUGCUCAGUACGAGUUGACUUCGAGCAGUUGCUCAGCUGGGUCUGUCUCGAGCAGUAUAUACACUAAACACUAGGUGGGAUGGGUUCACAUCCUCAGUAAGUUCAGCAUAAGACAGCAUAUCCUCAAUCACAGUUCUCGUUGCCACCUAAUCACUGAAUGAAUAUGUCUCAAUUUGACAGGAUUACCUAUUAAUUAUGGGCUGAGGAGUCGCCCGAUGGCCUUGACAUUUCAACAAGUCAGUGCAUAAGCAUGUUAUAGCCCUAACCAUCCUUAACCAGUUAUGGGCAUAGUUUCCCUUCCUUUCCCUUUGUCCCUUCGGACUUAGGGUUUAUUUAACGUCCGUCCCUGCCUAUUGCUAGGCUCACCGGACUUUGUUGGUGGCUUCCAGUAUUUCUACCUUCAGCCACCCCCCGGAGAGGUAGAUAAGGGUACGCUCUACCUCCGGCUCCGGUUGGCCGGUACCCUCCAGAUAAGGUACGAGUUGCUGUUAAACCACGACCACCACGAGUCCAACCUCAAUUGGGGGCUACUUGGAAUUACCCCAUCCCGUGGUUCAGUACUGUUUUUAAGGUGAGACUGAUCGCCCACCCGGGGGUUGCCCCCCUACUGUUUUCACCCGUUACCAGAGGGGUGAAGGUUCAGUAACCCAGGAAGCCUCCACCAAAGUGGAGGAGGGAGUUGGUACAGAUAAGGAAAGGUACAGGAAGGUAAGGGAUUUGCCUCCAUCAUCGGUUACCCCUAGACGCCUGAACUGAUGGUAGGACUUAUCUAGCUCGAAAACGACGUUGGGACAUCCACCACUUUUCAAAACGGAUCGGCCAUAAUAGCCUGGGGAAUCCAAGAGUGGCAGAGAAGAUGGUCAAACUCCAUAAAAGGAAGGACGACGUACAGCAUUUUCCCGGACAUUGCCAAACGACUAAAAAUGAAAUACGUGGAACUUGACCAUUAUUUAAGCCAAGUUUUAACAGGUCAUGGAGACUUCAGGGCUAAGCUACACUCCUUCCAAAUAAAAGAAUCACCAGAAUGCGAAUGUGAAUCGCCAGAGGAGACAUUAACACAUGUGUUGUUUGAAUGUGAGCGUUACGCAGCACCAAGGGAAAUCUGGUUGAGGAAAAUUAACCAUAGAGGGACUAAUGAAGGACUAACUCCGAAAAUGGUCGACACAAAGAAGAACUUCUUGGCCACAAAGCAAUACACCCAUAAGAUAAUGAAAAUCAAGUCUUGGAGCGUUCCGCACGACGACACAGCAAUUACAUUAAAAAAAAAAAAA